rnacentral:rRNA from 1 species
GACAGAGGGUGCAAACGUUGUUCGGAAUUACUGGGCGUAAAGCGUGUGUAGGCGGCCGAGAAAGUCGGAUGUGAAAGCCCCGGGCUCAACCCGGGAAGUGCACCCGAUACUGCUUGGCUCGAGUAUCGGAGAGGUUGGUGGAAUUCUCGGUGUAGAGGUGAAAUUCGUAGAUAUCGAAAGGAACACCGGUGGCGAAGGCGGCCAACUGGACGAAUACUGACGCUGAGACACGAAAGCGUGGGGAGCAAACAGG